AAAUUGAAGAGUUUGAUCAUGGCUCAGAUUGAACGCUGGCGGCAGGCCUAACACAUGCAAGUCGAACGGUAACAGGAAGCAGCUUGCUGCUUCGCUGACGAGUGGCGGACGGGUGAGUAAUGUCUGGGAAACUGCCUGAUGGAGGGGGAUAACUACUGGAAACGGUGGCUAAUACCGCAUAACGUCGCAAGACCAAAGAGGGGGACCUUCGGGCCUCUUGCCAUCAGAUGUGCCCAGAUGGGAUUAGCUUGUUGGUGAGGUAACGGCUCACCAAGGCGACGAUCCCUAGCUGGUCUGAGAGGAUGACCAGCCACACUGGAACUGAGACACGGUCCAGACUCCUACGGGAGGCAGCAGUGGGGAAUAUUGCACAAUGGGCGCAAGCCUGAUGCAGCCAUGCCGCGUGUAUGAAGAAGGCCUUCGGGUUGUAAAGUACUUUCAGCGGGGAGGAAGGUGUUGCGGUUAAUAACCGCAGCAAUUGACGUUACCCGCAGAAGAAGCACCGGCUAACUCCGUGCCAGCAGCCGCGGUAAUACGGAGGGUGCAAGCGUUAAUCGGAAUUACUGGGCGUAAAG
rnacentral:rRNA from 2 species